AUGCUAGUUUCUCAUUUUUUACAGAUUCUUUUCUUAUUCUUUCUAAAUAACCAAACAAAAUCCAAAUUGUCCCACUUCCUAAAA
rnacentral:tRNA from 2 species